AACAGGUCGGUCCAUAUAACUACAGGUUUAAACAGGUCGGUCCAUAUAACUACAGGUUUAAACAGGUCGGUCCAUAUAACUACAGGUUUAAACAGGUCGGUCUAUAUAACUACAGGUUUAAACAGGUCGGUCUAUAUAACUACAGGUUUAAACAGGUCGGUCCAUAUAACUACAGGUUUAAACAGGUCGGUCCAUAUAACUACAGGUUUAAACAGGUCGGUCUAUAUAACUACAGGUUUAAACAGGUCAGUCCAUAUAACUACAGGUUUAAACAGGUCGGUCCAUAUAACUACAGGUUUAAACAGGUCAGUCUAUAUAACUACAGGUUCAAACAGGUCGGUCCAUAUAACUUCAGGUUCAAACAGGUCGGUCUAUAUAACUACAGGUUUAAACAGGACGGUCUAUAUAACUAUUGACUGUUGAAGGAUUAAACAGGCAGAUCCAUGUAAGGGCGGUCAGGUGGGAAAUUACUGGGAGGAAAAGGAGCUCAGACAACAUGUGGUAUAUGGAGGGUUACAACCUGACGUGAGAGAAAGAGAGUGAGAUAUUGCAGCCUAAGGAUAUGAUCAGGAGAAAGAAGAGAGAUGGGCAGAGCUCCGGUUUAUCAGUCUCACCUGAAGAUUUAUUCCUCAUCAGACGGAUCAGAACCUCGGUCGGGUCAAUCCCCUGGUCCUGGAGCUGGGCGCGG
ensembl:lncRNA